rnacentral:rRNA from 1 species
AAAGGAAUAGACGGGGGCCCGCACAAGCAGCGGAGCAUGUUGUUUAAUUCGAAGCAACGCGAAGAACCUUACCAGGUCUUGACAUCGAGGUAAGCCCAUAGAGAUAUGGGGAGGCUUCGGCCAACCGAAGACAGGUGGUGCAUGGUUGUCGUCAGCUCGUGUCGUGAGAUGUUGGGUUAAGUCCCGCAACGAGCGCAACCCUUAUGGUCAGUUACUAACGCGUAGCGGCGAGGACUCUGACAAGACUGCCGGGGACAACUCGGAGGAAGGUGGGGACGACGUCAAAUCAUCAUGCCCCUUAUGACCUGGGCUACAAACGUGCUACAAUGGUGACAACAAAGAGGAGCGAGACCGUAAGGUGGAGCGGAUCUCAAAAAAGUCAUCCCAGUUCGGAUUGUGGGCUGCAACCCGCCCACAUGAAGUUGGAGUUGCUAGUAAUCGCGGAUCAGCAUGCCGCGGUGAAUACGUUCCCGGGCCUUGUACACACCGCCCGU